CCUGCCCCGGGCACCGCGCCCGGCCCAGCCCAGGCCAGCCCGGGCUGCCGCUGCCGCUGCUCUCGGCUUUCUGCAGCCGCUGCCGCUGCCGCUCGGCUCUCUGCAGCCGCUGCCGGCACCGAGGCGCUCACGGCCCCGGCUCGGCCCUCGCGGGGCUCCGGGCCCGGCUCACGGCCGAGCCCCGGCGCUGACACCGCGCCCGAACGGCUCCGGCCGCGGAAUCCUCCGCACCUUCUUCCAGGAGUGUCUUUCGAAGCAGUGACGUUUUCCAAGGUAGCCUUGACUGGCUCUGAAUCAGGUUUUGGGGGUACUUUUCCUUUUGCUAUGUCACGACAAAUAAGGACAAAUUGCAACAUAACCUGGCACAUCCAGGAAGCAUCACGAAUAUGUGGUUGUCAUUUAGGAGAGUGUCUCUGGAUUGUAACUGAAGGCUCCAGAGCUGUUUCAGGAACACAGGUUAUGCACAUUUACCUGCAGAGACAUUUAACCUUGAUUUUGAAGGACUGCUGUUGCAGUUCUGGAAAACUGUCCUGAGCAAAACAAUAAAAACAUUUCUGAAACA